CGGGUGAGUAAUGCUUGGGAAUCUAGCUUAUGGAGGGGGAUAGCUACGGGAAACUGUAGCUAAUACCGCGUAAUAUCGAAAGAUUAAAGUGUGGGACCUUCGGGCCACAUGCCAUAGGAUGAGCCCAAGUGGGAUUAGGUAGUUGGUGAGGUAAAGGCUCACCAAGCCGACGAUCUCUAGCUGGUCUGAGAGGAUGACCAGCCACACUGGGACUGAGACACGGCCCAG
rnacentral:rRNA from 1 species